rnacentral:tRNA from 1 species
UGCGUAGUUCAGUGGCAGAACGUCAGCUUCCCAAGCUGAAUAUGCGGGUUCGAUUCCCGUCGCGU